UACGUAGGGGGCUAGCGUUGUCCGGAAUCAUUGGGCGUAAAGAGCGUGUAGGCGGCCCGGUAAGUCCGCUGUGAAAGUCGGGGGCUCAACCCUCGGAUGCCGGUGGAUACUGUCGGGCUCGAGUACGGAAGAGGCGAGUGGAAUUCCUGGUGUAGCGGUGAAAUGCGUAGAUAUUGGGAGGAACACCAGUGGCGAAGGCGGCUACCUGGACCGGAACUGACGCUGAUGCGCGAAAGCGUGGGUAGCAAACAGG
rnacentral:rRNA from 1 species